UACGAAGGGAGCUAGCGGUGUUCGGAAUCACUGGGCGUAAAGCGCACGUAGGCGGAUUUGUCAGUCGGGGGUGAAAUCCCGAGGCUCAACCUCGGAACUGCCUCCGAUACAGCAAAUCUCGAGUCCGGGAGAGGUGGGUGGAAUUCCUAGUGUAGAGGUGAAAUUCGUAGAUAUUAGGAAGAACACCAGUGGCGAAGGCGGCCCACUGGCCCGGUACUGACGCUGAGGUGCGAAAGCGUGGGGAGCAAACAGG
rnacentral:rRNA from 1 species